CUCUUUGCUCGUACCCUAAUUUUAGAAUAGCAGUCAUUACGUUUUCACCUUCGGCACCGGCUUCACACCUUGUAACCUCUAGAACUGCCGCCAUCAUCACCUACGUACCGAAUUCAGUUUGCGAUCACCACAGGAAAUUGCAACAGCUUCACCGUUCGUCGUCGCCAAUAAGUGGUCAUUGUUGUGCCUUCCUUAAGCUAAUCGUCUACGCGAAAUAGAUCCGUUUGUUCGGUCCAUCAAUGGAGGUUUGCAUAGUUUUUUGAGGACGACUCGGUUUGUGGAUUUUUGCUUGCAAAUAAGGUAAUCUGGGAUAAUAUGGGAUUUCAGUGAGGAGCAUAGGAAGUUGCUGACCAAGAUUCUUUAUUUCAGUAACGUAAUAAAAUGUAAUUAGGAUCUUAUAUUUAAUGUUAUGGAUUGGUUUUUAGUUUUGAUAUCUGUAAGAGUGACACGUCAGCCCUAUUUGGGUCGUGGUGUUACACCAUUAGUAGUGAUAAGUCUUCUGAAUGGAAUAAAGCAAUGAU